rnacentral:rRNA from 1 species
UACGUAGGGUGCAAGCGUUAAUCGGAAUUACUGGGCGUAAAGGGGUGCGUAGGCGGUUGUUUAAGUCUGUUGUGAAAUCCCCGGGCUCAACCUGGGAAUGGCAAUGGAUACUGGGCAGCUAGAGUGUGUCAGAGGAUGGUGGAAUUCCCGGUGUAGCGGUGAAAUGCGCAGAUAUCAGGAAGAACACCCGUGGCGAAGGCGGCUCUCUGGGACGGUACUGACGCUGAGACGCGAAAGCGUGGGGAGCGAACAGG